GGAGUGGCUCAGUCGGUAGAGCAGCUGAUUCGUAAUCAGCAGGUCGUCGGUUCAAGUCCGAUCUCC
rnacentral:tRNA from 5 species